AAAUACAAACUUCGAACAAAAGCCUUCUUUUGAAUAAGAAUUUUUUAGUCGGUUAACGGUAAAUACUGAUUUGUCACUUUCCGAAAAUGUUCCUUUUAUGAACUCGUUACCUUCAGAAUAUCGAUUUAUUUCACCUGUACACGAGGGUCCAGAGCUUCGGAGCAUUCCGCGGCGCCUUCGUUCAUUGUUCUCUCAACCCCAAUGCAUUUUAGAAUCUACCACCGGAUCGGAAACUACAAGCAGCAGCUGACCGUGUAGUGCAGUGAUUAUCAAACUUAUUUCUUUUACCGCCCCCUUUGAAAAUCAAGAAUUUUUCAGCGCCCCCCAUUUUUUAUACACCCCUAAAACUUUAAAACCACAAUUUCAUUAAUUUAAUUAAUAAAUGUUGUAUUAAUUUUAGUAAAUGUAGUACCACGUAGUACAUAUGUAUUUGUAGAUGCUAUUAUUGUUUCUUCAUAUUAUUAUAUGUCCGUACAUUGCUACAGAGCGUGUAUUUACAAAUUUGCAAAGUAAAAAUGAAUUCUUCUCAUCAA